rnacentral:rRNA from 1 species
UGCAGUCGAACGGAGAACUUUAUUUCGGUAAGGUUCUUAGUGGCGAACGGGUGAGUAACGCGUAGGCAACCUACCUUUUAGACGGGGACAACAUACCGAAAGGUGUGCUAAUACCGGAUGUGAUCACAGGAGCGCAUGCAUCUGUGAAGAAAGGCGGCCGAAAGGCUGUCGCUAAAAGAUGGGCCUGCGUCCGAUUAGCUAGUUGGUGAGGUAACGGCUCACCAAGGCGAUGAUCGGUAGCCGGUCUGAGAGGAUGAACGGCCACAUUGGGACUGAGACACGGCCCAGACUCCUACGGGAGGCAGCAGUGGGGAAUCUUUCGCAAUGGACGAAAGUCUGACGGAGCAACGCCGCGUGAGUGAUGAAGGAUUUCGGUCUGUAAAACUCUGUUGUUAAUGACGAACGUGGUAUAUAGUAACUGAUAUGUCAGUGACGGUAAUUAACGAGGAAGCCACGGCUAACUACGUGCCAGCAGCCGCGGUAAUACGUAGGUGGCAAGCGUUGUCCGGAAUUAUUGGGCGUAAAGAGCAUGUAGGCGGCUAUUUAAGUCGAUCGUGAAAAUGCGGGGCUUAACCCCGUAUGGCGGUCGAAACUGGAUGGCUUGAGUGCAGGAGAGGAAAGGGGAAUUCCCAGUGUA